AGAGUUUGAUCCUGGCUCAGAAUCAACGCUGGCGGCGUGCCUAACACAUGCAAGUCGAGCGAGAGGAAGUAGCAAUACUUUAGUAAAGCGGCGCACGGGUGAGUAACACGUGGAUAACCUGCCUCGAAGUGGGGAAUAACCCCGGGAAACCGGAGCUAAUACCGCAUAAUCUGACGAGAUCUGUGGAUUUUGUCAGCAAAGGAGCAAUUCGCUUUGAGAGGGGUCCGCGGCUGAUUAGCUAGUUGGUGAGGUAAUGGCUCACCAAGGCCACGAUCAGUAGCCGGUCUGAGAGGACGGUCGGCCACACUGGAACUGAGACACGGUCCAGACUCCUACGGGAGGCAGCAGUGGGGAAUUUUUCGCAAUGGGGGCAACCCUGACGAAGCAACGCCGCGUGGGUGAUGAAGUAUUUCGGUACGUAAAACCCUUUCGACGGGGACGAAAGCCGCAAGGUUGACGGUACCCGUGGAAGAAGCCCCCU
rnacentral:rRNA from 1 species